GUGUCAGCAGCCGCGGUAAUACGUAGGUGGCAAGCGUUGUCCGGAAUUACUGGGUGUAAAGGGCGUGUAGGCGGGUGUAUAAGUCAGAUGUGAAAUCCUGGGGCUCAACCCCAGAGCUGCAUCUGAAACUGUACAUCUUGAGUGCUGGAGAGGAAAGCGGAAUUCCUAGUGUAGCGGUGAAAUGCGUAGAUAUUAGGAGGAACACCAGUGGCGAAGGCGGCUUUCUGGACAGUAACUGACGCUGAGGCGCGAAAGCGUGGGGAGCAAACAGGAUUAGAAACCCGGGUAGUCC
rnacentral:rRNA from 1 species